rnacentral:tRNA from 1 species
AGUCUUGAGGUGUAUUACAUAUAAGAUUGCAAAUCUUAAGAAGUAGACUAAUAAAUCUGCCGGGACUU